UUAAUACAUCUGUCUUCUUUCUUCUACGAUUCCCAAAUCCCAGAUAUAUAGCCGUGGUUUGCCGUUUUGGUGUAUCUAUUUUAUGAAGUAUAAAGCGGCUAAUGUUGGCUAAAAAUUUAAUUGAGGCAGUUUUGACUGAUUGAGACAAAAUAUUCUCUUUAUUAGCUUAACUCUAUAAUUAAUGAAGAAGAAUAGAGAGUAUUUUGGUUGACUGUUGACCUACACAAGGCAUAAGAAGAAGAAAAAUGCACAAACGAAAAAGACUAAAAAUGAAGUGAUCAGUAUAAAAAGAUGGUAUGAGUUUUAGGGUUUAGAUCGACAUGGAAUUGCCGAAAACUGACUUUUUUCUCUGAAUCAUUUUGCUAAGCUUAAAGAUAAUAUUGUUAGGGAUAUAUUAAAUAUACCCUAGACCCAAUCUCAUAUUUGAUGAUUUGAAUAUAUUUUUGUGAAUGCUAUUUGAUAUAAAAAUAUAUGGCAUUUGAUAUUCAUUUAUCAUAAUUAUUAUUAAUUACUUGAUUAAUUUAAUAAGGUCCUUGAUUAAAUUUUGAGAUUUGUCAUCAUGAUGGAACCAUGAUAAUGAGAGUAAAGUCUCUUACAAUUUAACCUAAAUUUUGUUCUUGAUCGUAGGAUUAUUAAUUUGGACAUUAGUAAUCCGGUUAGAUCAAUAUUUAUGUGAUCGUCUUUAUGAGAUAAUGAUUAGUUGAUCUCAUUAAUUAAAUAACAUAAAUAGAUGAUGCAUAUAGAGAUAUGAUCAUUGAACCGAUUCAUUGGAUAAUUCCUAAUGGUUAGAAUUACCAUAAACUGUCAAUAAGAUAUUCUCUUGAAGAAUGUGAUGUAAAAGUUUCCUUUGACCUGAUAUCAUCAUAGUAAUUGACAAGUUAUUUAUUGUGCUUUGAUACUAGACACCUAUGGCCCUAGGGCGAUAGUUGAAAAGAUAUUGAUCAUACUAGUGAUUGAUCAAGAUGGAAUCUGUCAACUCUUGAUAAUGAGUUUAAGCUCCAUGUUGUCAUAAAUUAUAACCGACCAAAUUAAGACCUUGGCCAGGGUGAUUGAAUAAAAGAAGAAAAUAGUUUCUUAGGUCAUUCAAUGGUCGAUUAUUUUUGACAGGAACACAUAGUCGGCCGCCUAUUAGGAUUGACAGUUGAACCAUAUCCUAGGGUGACCCAGAGCUAUAAGGACAGAAGGAAUUAAUACAUUAUUCUUAUACAAGUUCUUGAGAGUAAAUUGUAUACUUCAUGCUAUCCGGUCGUUAAGGAGUGUUGCUAGACGCCAUUCUUGAUUAGUAUAUUGAUGUGAUCAAUUUACUACCGGCUUAGUAUUGAACCUAUGAGGUCGCACACUAACGAGUGUUCUGAUCUUUGCUAAAGGAUUAAUUACUUUAUUAUUUGAUAAUUAAAUUAAAAAAUUUAAUUAGUUAAAUAAAUUUAGUUAUUAGUCCAAAUGAAAUAUUAUUAUAUUUUUUGUUAGCACAGAUGAUAUAAUUAAUAUUGUGGACAAGUUGAAGUUUUCUAUUUUAAAUAAGAAAAUCAAAUUACAUCUCUUGGUUUUUACAUGACUUUACAAUACGUAUAAGAUCUAUAUCUUCAUCAUUCUUGAUUAGGACUCACACACACACACAUACAUAUAUAUAUAUAUAUAUAUAUNNNNNNNNNNNNNNNNNNNNNNNNNAUUGGACUAAAGCAAGCUUCUAGAAGUUGGAAUAUUCGCUUUAACAAGACAAUUAGAUUCGAAGAAGAACCUUGUGUGUACAAAAAGGUUAGUGAGAGCAUAAUUUUAUUCUUAGUACUGUAUGUUGAUGAUAUAUUGCUCAUAGGAAAUAACAUACCAACAUUACAAAGUACCAAGAUUUGGCUAUCUGAACAGUUCUCCAUGAAAGACUCGGGAGAAGCAACUUAUAUAUUAGGAAUAGAGGUCUAUAGAGAUAGAUCGAGGAAGCUACUUGGACUUUCCCAGUCUUUGUACAUUGAUACCAUUUUGAAAAGGUAUAACAUGGAUAAUUCCAAAAGAGGCUAUCUACCGAUAGGCACUGGAAUUACUCUCAGUAGGGAGGAUUGUCCUAAAACACCUGAAGAGAGAGAAAGCAUGAGUAGGAUACCAUACGCUAGUGCAGUGGGAGCUAUCAUGUAUACCAUGAUAUGUACACGUCUUGAUGUGGCUUAUGCACUUGGAGUGACUAGCCGAUAUCUGGCAAUUCCUGAUGAGGAACAUUUGAAGGUGGUGAAGACCAUUCUUAAGUACUUAAGAAGGACUAAAGACCAAUUCCUCAUUUAUGGAGAUUCUGAGUUGAAACUUGAAUGUUAUACUAAUGCAAGUUUCUCUUCAGAUAGAGAUGAUAGCAAAUCUAUUUCUGGUUAUGUAUUCACUUUAAAUGGUGGUGCAGUGAGUUGGAAAAGUUUUAAACAAGCUACAGUAGUUGAUUCAGUAACUGAAACAGAAUAUAUAGCAGCUAGUGAAGCUGCUAAGGAAGUUGUAUGGAUGAAAAAGUUCUUAACUGAACUUGGUGUGGUUCCUUCAAUAGAAGGUGCAGUUCCAUUAUUGUGUAACAAUACUGAGCCAUUCCUCAAGCAAAAAAACCAAGAUCACACCAAAAAUCCAAACACGUUCUGCGAAGGUAUCACUUGAUAAGAGAGAUCAUUGAACGUGGAGACGUCGAGAUUCAAAGAUGUAAAGGAAAAUGUUGCAGACCCAUUCACCAAAGCUCUUGGAGCAAAAGAGUUUGACAAGCACAAGUGAAAAUUGGGAAUGAAAUACAAGAGCGAUUGGCUCUAGUGCAAGUGAGAGAUUAUUAGGGAUAUAUUAAAUAUGCCCUAGAUCCAAUCUCAUAUUUGAUGAUUUGAAUAUAUUUUUGUGAAUGCUAUUUGAUAGAAAAAUAUAUGGCAUUUGAUAUUCAUUUAUCAUAAUUAUUAUUAAUUACUUGAUUAAUUUAAUAAGGUCCUUGAUUAAAUUUUGUGAUUUGUCAUCAUGAUGGAAUCAUGAUAAUGAGAGUAAAGUCUCUUACAAUUUAACCUAAAUUUUGUUCUUGAUCGUAGGAUUAUUAAUUUGGACAUUAGUAAUCCGGUUAGAUCAAUAUUUAUGUGAUCGUCUUUAUGAGAUAAUGAUUAGUUGAUCUCAUUAAUUAAAUAACAUAAAUAGAUGAUGUAUAUAGAGAUAUGAUCAUUGAACCGAUUCAUUGGAUAAUUCCUAAUGGUUAGAAUUACCAUAAACUGUCAAUAGGAUAUUCUCUUGAAGAAUGUGAUGUAAGAGUUUCCUUUGACCUGAUAUCAUCAUAGUAAUUGACAAGUUAUUUAUUGUGCUUUGAUACUAGACACCUAUGGCCCUAGGGCGAUAGUUGAAAGGAUAUUGGGUACGAUUAAAUACUUGUAGAAUUAGUGAUUGAUCAAGAUGGAAUCUGUCAACUCUUGGUAAUGAGUUUUAAGCUCCAUGUUGUCAUAAAUUAUAACCGACCAAAUUAAGACCUUGGCCAGGGUGAUUGAAUGAAAGAAAAAAAGAGUUUCUUAGGUCAUUCAAUGGUCGAUUAUUUUUGACAUGAACACAUAGUCGGCCGCCUAUUAGGAUUGACAGUUGAACCAUAUUCUAGGGUGACCCAGAGCUAUAAGGACAGAAGGAAUUAAUACAUUAUUCUUCUACAAGUUCUUGAGAGUAAAUUGUAUACUUCAUGCUAUCCGGUCGUUAAGGAGUGUUACUAGACGCCGCCCUUGAUUAGUAUAUUGAUGUGAUCAAUUUACUACCGGCUUAGUAUUGAACCUAUGAGGUCGCACACUAACGAGUGUUCUGAUCNNN
rnacentral:lncRNA from 1 species